AGUCGAGGGCGCUGGAGCAAUCCAGCGACCGGCGAACGGGUGCGUAACACGUGAGCGACCUACCCGCUUGAGGGGGAUAGCCGGCCCAACGGCCGGGUAAUACCGCAUACGCUUCUUUUCUCGCAUGGGGAGAGAAGGAAACUUCAGGGGCAGGCGGAGGGGCUCGCGGCCUAUCAGCUAGUUGGCGGGGUAAUGGCCCACCAAGGCGAUGACGGGUAGCUGGUCUGAGAGGAUGGCCAGCCACAUUGGGACUGCGAGACGGCCCAGACUCCUACGGGAGGCAGCAGUGGGGAAUCUUGCGCAAUGGCCGCAAGGCUGACGCAGCGACGCCGCGUGCGGGAGGACGCCCUUCGGGGUGUAAACCGCUGUUGCCCGGGACGAAUGGCUUCUUUCGAGGAGCGUGACGGUACCGGGUGAGGAAGCACCGGCUAACUCCGUGCCAGCAGCCGCGGUAAUACGGAGGGUGCGAGCGUUGUCCGGAAUCACUGGGCGUAAAGGGCGCGUAGGCGGUCUGGUAAGCGUGCGGUGAAAGCCCGGGGCUCAACCCCGGGUCGGCCGUGCGGACUGCGAGACUGGAGCACUGUAGAGGCAGAUGGAAUUCCGGGUGUAGCGGUGGAAUGCGUAGAGAUCCGGAAGAACACCGGUGGCGAAGGCGGUCUGCUGGGCAGUGGCUGACGCUGAUGCGCGACAGCGUGGGGAGCAAACAGGAUUAGAUACCCUGGUAGUCCACGCCGUAAACGAUGGGCACUAGAUGCCUGGGGGAGCGACCCUCCGGGUGUCGGCGCUAACGCAUUAAGU
rnacentral:rRNA from 1 species